rnacentral:rRNA from 1 species
AGGACGAACGCUGGCGGCGUGGAUUAGGCAUGCAAGUCGCGCGACGGACGAGCUUCGGCUCGUUACGGAGCGGCGAACGGGUGAGUAACACGUGAACAAUCUGUCCUCACGUUCCGGAUAAUUGGUCGAAAGACCUUGUAAUACGGGCGAGGGUCAUCUGGAGGCAUCUUCGGGUGAAGGAAAGCGCAAGCUGCGCGAGGAGGAGUUCGCGGCCUAUCAGUUAGUUGGUGAGGUAAUGGCUCACCAAGACGACGACGGGUAGCUGGUCUGAGAGGAUGGUCAGCCACAUUGGAACUGAGACACGGCCCAGACUCCUACGGGAGGCAGCAGUGAGGAAUUUUCGGCAAUGGGGCAACCCUGACCGAGCAACGCCGCGUGCAGGAGGAAGGUCUUCGGAUCGUAAACUGCUUUUCUGUGGGAAGAGAACGGACGGUACCACGAGGAAGAACGCCCCGGCUAACUACGUGCCAGCAGCCGC